UUUUAUGUGAGGGUUUUGAAAGACCCCCGAAGGGAGCCCCCCACUCAAGUCUCGGGAAAGACGCGCACCCAGUAGGACACAGACACCG
rnacentral:pre_miRNA from 14 species